GAUGAACGCUGGCGGGCGUGCUUAACACAUGCAAGUCGAACGGGAUCCAUCGGGGCUUUGCUUGGUGGUGAGAGUGGCGAACGGGUGAGUAAUGCGUGACCGACCUGCCCCAUGCACCGGAAUAGCUCCUGGAAACGGGUGGUAAUGCCGGAUGUCCAGUUGAUCGCAUGGUCUUCUGGGAAAGCUUUCGCGGUAUGGGAUGGGGUCGCGUCCUAUCAGCUUGACGGCGGGGUAACGGCCACCGUGGCUUCGACGGGUAGCCGGCCUGAGAGGGCGACCGGCCACAUUGGGACUGAGAUACGGCCCAGACUCCUACGGGAGGCAGCAGUGGGGAAUAUUGCACAAUGGGCGCAAGCCUGAUGCAGCGACGCCGCGUGAGGGAUGGAGGCCUUCGGGUUGUAAACCUCUUUUAUCGGGGAGCAAGCGUGAGUGAGUUUACCCGUUGAAUAAGCACCGGCUAACUACGUGCCAGCAGCCGCGGUAAAU
rnacentral:rRNA from 1 species